AUCUUCUUCUCCUUCAUCGUUCUCUCCUCCUAUACCUCUCUAUUCUUCUUUUCUCCUCUCUCGCUUACUCUCUUCCUCUGAUUAUGCAACCCUAGAUCUAUUAGAUUUUAUCAGUUUCGCUUCAGAUUUCAGAUCCAUUAUCUCUUUGUCACCCUCGCUUUCAUCCCCAAAUUUAUCUUAUUCUUCUUCAAUUUGAUGAAAACUUCAGUCUCCAUCUUCGUCGGUGGUCUGAGAUAGCCUUAAACCAUAAAUUUAAUUUCGGUGGCUGAAACGUAGGUGAAACCCAAACCAUCUUCGUCGCUUGGUUCUUCGUAGCUGAAAGAUACAAUGAAUCCUCAAAUACUUCCAGAGCUCUUUUCCAUUUAGUGAGAGUGGCAAGAGAGCAAAGCUCAAGAAAUAACCAAGAGAGGUUUUGGUUUCUAAAUUUGCAAGUUUUGGUUGUCUAAGUCACAAGUUUUGGGUUUCUCUGUGAAGGGACAAAAGGUUAAUACUAGUCCUAGCUAGUAAUUGUACUCUCAUGUGCUUGGAUUCAUUGAGAAAGCAGGAGAUAAAGAAAGGCUUUUGAAGUGGAGUUUGAGUGAUACCUGGAAUGGCAAUCACAAAUGUGGUAACAAUCUCUACGAUCCUGAAGCACACUGGACUAGCAACAUAGAAGAAGGUGUUAACGUUGUUGACUGUGGGAAUGAAAGACAAGAACAAAGGAAGCAUGGUCCAGAAGGCUAAGGCAAG